GAGCCUCCCUAGAAGUUGUAAAGACAUUAUUCUCUUUCUGGGGAAAAAAGGUGUUUGUGUUUCUCAUUCAGCUGAGAAUGAUGGCUUUUAAGAAUGCUUUUGUGUAGCUUCCCUUAGUUUUCCAGAUCAUAAUUAUCCAGAGUUCAGCAAAUUGUGAAGAUGAUCAAUUGUGAGAAGUGGGUUCUGGAGUGCUCUCCAGAUAUCGCAGCACGCCCCUGGAUGACCUGCCUGAACAACGAAUGCAAACUUGUAGUAUUCUCUUCCUUUUUUAAAAAAAAAACAACGUAUCUCUUUUUUCUUUUGCAAGAAAUUCUGCAACUUUCAAGUCUUUCGAAGACAGAGUUGGAACCAUAAAGUCCAAAGUCGUGGGUGGCAAAGAUAACGACGGCGCCAACCAGCUCCAUUCGCCGACGGCCGCUGGUGACAAGCCGCCCCAGGACAACGCACCUUUCUAAGUCCUACUGCCGCGUGGCGGUGCAUGGCUGCCAGUGCCCCACCCUUUGCCUCUUCCCAACACGCAAGAUGGAAAAAAAAAAAAAGGAAAAAAAAAAAAAAAGAAGAAUCGCGGUCCCAACUCGGAAGAGAGACACAUCCAUACUUCCCUCUUCGCUGCUGGAAUCUUCAGGUCCAAUAAAGUGAACAGACAGCUUUUUGUACACUUAUACCUAUUUUACACGAAAGGCUUCUCAGAAAGAGCCCUGCGCUGCGCUUCCUUUUGGAAGGGGGCCAUCAGCGGAGAGGGGAGGAUUCUGCCGUUUGAGCCUAAAAAGAUGACCUCCCCUCUUCUUUCAGGCUUCGGAGGGUUGUAGACACUGCCCGCUCCUUGCUCCUCCAGUGGCAAGUGGAAAAAAUCGAUUUUUUUUUAAUGCAAUACGGGGGGAAAGGGUCGUUUUAGGAGGCAUUUAGCUGCACGCCAAACAGCCCAGCGCUCCAUAUUAUACCCUUAUAUCUUCUUGGUCUAUAACUAGCUAGCUAGCUUUCAGUUAUUCAAGCUCGUUUCCUUUCUGGGCAAUUAAUAGAGUGCCUAUGGCUGCUUUGGAAACCUUGCCAUCUCUUGUUUAGACCGAUAAACCAUCAAAAUCAAGUAGGCGGGGGGGAGGGUUAAAGAUAUUCCCCCUUCUUUCCCCCCCCCCCCCCCCGCCCCCACUCUCUCUUUUGGGAUUCCCAGAAAGGAAUCUCUUCUCAGCCCCAGCCGAGUUUACCACCCGGGCUUCUCUUAAGCUUUAAUCAAUCUCAGAAAGUUUAUUUUUUGCGGGAGGCAUUUGCGGGGGGGGGGGGGGGACACUUUUCCACAGCGCAUCAGCUUUUUCGCAUCGCGAUUUAGCCCCCCCCCCUUUGUCUCUCGGACGCGGGAGCUGAAACACGAGCCUUACGUCACCACCUGCUUUAAUCGUUUAUAAUCUUUUUAUAUCUCGAGAAGCAUGAAGAAGGUUGCGGGUGAGGAAGGGAAGGAAAAGAAAGGACAAACAGGUUGAGGCAUCUUAACCGUAGAAACUGCAUGUGGCUCUUUAAACAUUCAUUUCGGCGUGUUGCAUACAUACUCGCUUGCACGCAUGUUCUCUCUCUCUCUCUCUCUCUCUCCCUCUCUCUCUCCCUUGGAAUGUAUGGAAUUUGCUUUUCUGUCCUCUGGAUUUGGGUCUUGCCUUAGAAAGUCCCGGAGGCGGCGAGGGAAACCACCGGGAUUAUCGGGGCACACCCCACAAUUCCCUUCUGCCGGGUUUUUCUUUCUUCGUUGCUUCUUCCCGGAACUUUCCGUCCGAUGUUUUCGAGAUCCUGAUGGCGGGAAUCUUGUUCACGGCUUCUGCAACCCAUGGUGGUCGUGGGUGGCACUGUGCCUUGUGGCAGCCCUUGGCGAUUCUGCCUGGAAACACUAAUACUUUGAGGGAAGGGCGAGAAGGCGGCGUUCUCCCGGCCUCGUAGCUUGAAGGCAGAGGCGCCCCGAAGCGAUCCAGACUUUUCUGUGCCUUAGAGGCUCAGUGGGAUGGGAAGCCGUGCGCCCCACAAUAGAUACCAACAGUGACACUUAGCACCCAGAAAGGAGGAUUUGGUGACCCUUCCUCUUGUCUCUCCAGUCGCCCGAGAAGCAAGUUUUGAGACUCAAAAACGCGGACGGUGACCUUCUUCCUGCGUCCUUCUGUUGCUGUUGGCCGAAUACUUUCCUGGGUCAGAACCUGGCUCAAGAGGGUCAGGAGAUGCACAGAGGUGAAGAGGGGGGGGGGGGGUUAUUGUAGUUUCUGAAGAGGGAGGUUAGCCCACCCGCGUUUGGAAAAAGAAAAAAAAGGGAGAAUUGGUGUGGAUGUGACCGGGUGCUGCAGGACGAGGCUUAAGUUGUUUCUCCUGUAAUGGGUCUGGGGGAAAUUUGUCAAUAAAAUGUUCCUUUUGGAAAAGCAGA